CCCAGGGGCAGCAUGGUGGA
rnacentral:miRNA from 1 species